GUGGGGGAUAUUGCACAAUGGGGGAAACCCUGAUGCAGCGACGCCGCGUGAGUGAAGGAGUAUUUCGGUAUGUAAAGCUCUAUCAGCAGGGAAGAAAGUGACAGUACCUGACUAAGAAGCCCCGGCUAACUACGUGCCAGCAGCCGCGGUAAUACGUAGGGGGCAAGCGUUAUCCGGAUUUACUGGGUGUAAAGGGAGCGUAGACGGCGAUGUAAGUCUGGAGUGAAAGCCCGCGGCUCAACUGCGGGACUGCUCUGGAAACUGUGUUGCUAGAGUACAGGAGGGGCAGGCGGAAUUCCUGGUGUAGCGGUGAAAUGCGUAGAUAUCAGGAGGAACACCGGCGGCGAAGGCGGCCUGCUGGACUGCAACUGACGUUGAGGCUCGAAAGCGUGGGGAGCAAACAGG
rnacentral:rRNA from 1 species